AUGGGAAUCAGGCUCCUCUGUCGUGUGGCCUUUUGUUUCCUGGCUGUAGGCCUCGUAGAUGUGAAAGUAACCCAGAGCUCGAGAUAUCUAGUCAAAAGGACGGGAGAGAAAGUUUUUCUGGAAUGUGUCCAGGAUAUGGACCAUGAAAAUAUGUUCUGGUAUCGACAAGACCCAGGUCUGGGGCUACGGCUGAUCUAUUUCUCAUAUGAUGUUAAAAUGAAAGAAAAAGGAGAUAUUCCUGAGGGGUACAGUGUCUCUAGAGAGAAGAAGGAGCGCUUCUCCCUGAUUCUGGAGUCCGCCAGCACCAACCAGACAUCUAUGUACCUCUGUGCCAGCAGUUUAUG